rnacentral:ncRNA from 1 species
CGCCACACAGACGGACGGAAUUAAAAGGGAAUCGGGUGAGAAUCCCGGACAGUCCCGCUGCUGUGAGACUCCUUCAACACACGCCAUCGAACAUCUCCGCCACUGACCUAAAACUCGGGAAGGCUUCGAAAAGGCGGGAGUCAGAGUCAGAAGACCUGCCGUAUCCGUU